AGAGAGAGACAUGCGCGCAUAUCAAUAAGCGGAGGAAAAGAAACUAACAAGGAUUCCCUUAGUAACGGCGAGUGAAGCGGGAAGAGCUCAAAUUUGAAAUCUUCAAGGUUUUACCUUGACGAAUUGUAGUUUAAAGAAGUGUUUUCUGCUGAAGUUUUGGUAAAAGUUCUUUGGAAUAGGACAUCAUAGAGGGUGAGAAUCCCGUAUUUGACCAUUAUUUUCAGCUUUGUGAUACACUUUCAAAGAGUCGGAUUGUUUGGGAAUGCAGUCCAAAAUGGGUGGUAAAUUUCAUCUAAAGCUAAAUAUUGGCGAGAGACCGAUAGCGAACAAGUACCGUGAGGGAAAGAUGAAAAGAACUUUGAAAAGAGAGUUAAACAGUACGUGAAAUUGUCAAAAGGGAAGCGUUUGACACCAGUGUCGUUUUCUCGAAAAUCAAUUAAAAAUGGCUCGAUUUUGUAUUGUUGAGACCUUAAAAGCUCACUGUACAUUUUUCGUGUCUUUUUUAAUGCACUUUUCGUUUAACAAGUCAACAUCAGUUUCUUUUGUUGUAAAAGGGUCAUUGGAAGGUGGCUUUCUUUUCGGAGAAAGUGUUUAUAGCCUUUGGCCUCUGCAAUCGGAAGAGACUGAGGUCUGCAGCGUAGACUCUUCGGGGUUAGAUACAUUUGUGCUAAGUUAUAGCUUUUUAUAGACAACUUGUUGACUAUAAUUAGUCUUGUAGCUUACUCGCUUAUGCUAUUUUACCUACGCUUAGGAUGUUGAGUCGUAGAGCACGCAG
rnacentral:rRNA from 1 species